rnacentral:rRNA from 1 species
GGUCAAGCGAACAAGUGCAUGUGGUGGAUGCCUUGGCGAUCACAGGCGAUGAAGGACGCGGUAGCCUGCGAAAAGCUACGGGGAGCUGGCAAACAAGCUUUGAUCCGUAGAUGUCCGAAUGGGGAAACCCACUCCUUUUGGAGUAUCCAUGGCUGAAUACAUAGGCCAUGCGAAGCGAACGCGGUGAACUGAAACAUCUAAGUAACCGCAGGAAAAGAAAUCAACCGAGAUUCCCAAAGUAGUGGCGAGCGAAAUGGGAUGAGCCUUGCACUCUUUAUUUGUAUUGUUAGCCGAACGCUCUGGAAAGUGCGGCCAUAGCAGGUGAUAGCCCUGUAGGCGAAAACAGUAUGAAAGAACUAGGUGUGCGACAAGUAGGGCGGGACACGUGAAAUCCUGUCUGAAGAUGGGGGGACCAUCCUCCAAGGCUAAAUACUCGUGAUCGACCGAUAGUGAAC